rnacentral:rRNA from 1 species
UACGAGGGGGGCGAGCGUUGUUCGGAAUUACUGGGCGUAAAGCGCGCGCAGGCGGUCUUCCAAGUCAGUGGUGAAAGCCCGGAGCUCAACUCCGGAACUGCCAUUGAAACUGUUGGACUUGAGUACGAGAGAGGUGAGUGGAAUUCCCAGUGUAGAGGUGAAAUUCGUAGAUAUUGGGAAGAACACCGGUGGCGAAGGCGGCUCACUGGCUCGUAACUGACGCUCAGGCGCGACAGCGUGGGGAUCAAACAGG